rnacentral:rRNA from 1 species
CCUACGGGAGGCAGCAGUGGGGAAUUUUGGACAAUGGGCGAAAGCCUGAUCCAGCAAUGCCGCGUGUGUGAAGAAGGCCUUCGGGUUGUAAAGCACUUUUGUCCGGAAAGAAAUCCUUGACUCUAAUACAGUCGGGGGAUGACGGUACCGGAAGAAUAAGCACCGGCUAACUACGUGCCAGCAGCCGCGGUAAUACGUAGGGUGCGAGCGUUAAUCGGAAUUACUGGGCGUAAAGCGUGCGCAGGCGGUUUGCUAAGACCGAUGUGAAAUCCCCGGGCUCAACCUGGGAACUGCAUUGGUGACUGGCAGGCUAGAGUAUGGCAGAGGGGGGUAGAAUUCCACGUGUAGCAGUGAAAUGCGUAGAGAUGUGGAGGAAUACCGAUGGCGAAGGCAGCCCCCUGGGCCAAGUACUGACGCUCAUGCACGAAAGCGUGGGGAGCAAACAGGAUUAGAUACCCUGGUAGUCCACGCCCUAAACGAUGUCACUAGUGUGGGAUUNUNUUCUUAGUACUAG